rnacentral:rRNA from 1 species
GACGAACGCUGGCGGCGUGCUUAACACAUGCAAGUCGAACGGAAAGGCCUUUUCGGAGGUACUCGAGUGGCGAACGGGUGAGUAACACGUGGGUGAUCUGCCCUGCACUCUGGGAUAAGCCUGGGAAACUGGGUCUAAUACCGGAUAGGACCGCACUUUAGUGUGUGUGGUGGAAAGUUUUUUCGGUGUAGGAUGAGCCCGCGGCCUAUCAGCUUGUUGGUGGGGUAAUGGCCUACCAAGGCGGCGACGGGUAGCCGGACUGAGAGGUUGGUCGGCCACAUUGGGACAGAGAUAAGGCACAGACUCCUACGGGAGGCAGCAGUGGGGAAAAUUGAACAAUGGGCGCAAGCCUGAUGCAGCGACGCCGCGUGGGGGAUGACGGCCUUCGGGUUGUAAACUACUUUCGCCAGGGACGAAGCGUUUUGUGACGGUACCUGGAGAAGAAGCACCGGCUAACUACGUG